UACGAAGGGGGCUAGCGUUGUUCGGAAUUACUGGGCGUAAAGAGCGCGUAGGCGGUUUAUCAAGUUGGGAGUGAAAUCCCGGGGCUCAACCCCGGAAUUGCUCUCAAAACUAGUAGACUAGAGUAUGGUAGAGGAUAGUGGAAUUCCUAGUGUAGAGGUGAAAUUCGUAGAUAUUAGGAGGAACACCAGUGGCGAAGGCGACUAUCUGGGCCAUUACUGACGCUGAGGUGCGAAAGCGUGGGGAGCAAACAGG
rnacentral:rRNA from 1 species